AACAUAGAAAAAAGAAUCACAGAAGAAUAUAUAACAAAUAUAAUCAAAAAUGCAAAUUGUUCUACAUUUUUAGGUAAUAUUGAAUGUGAAAUAUCAAAAUUAAAUUUAAAUCAAUGCUGUUUACAAAUAAUUAAAAAUCUCGGAAAUUCUAAUCAAGUGAAAAUUGCUAAUGAAUAUAGUUAAAGAUCUGUUGCUUGGAAAGAAGAAAUAAGUUAAGAGUAACAGGUUCAAGAUGUUAUUCUAUAAUAUGUAUACUUAUGCAAAGGACGACUGGGAACAAAAAUCCCUCAAUUAUUUCUUUCUCAAAGAGUUUAUGUCAAAAUACACUGAAUAUGGAAUUAUUAAUGAACCAAAUGCAUUAGAAUGUUACAGAAAAACUACCAAACAUAAAAUCGUAACUCCUGGUCUCAUAGUAUGCAAAAAUUUCCCUUGGCUAGCGUACUCACCUGAUGGGAUUCUUAUAAUUGAUGGAAAACCAAGUAUUUUAUUAGAAAUUAAGUGUCCUUAUUCAGGCAAUGAAGUGGAAAGAAAAGAUUUAGUGAACAUGUGCGAUUACCUGAUUUUAAAUGAAAACACUGCCUUGACUUUAAGGAAAAAACACAGAAUUUACAGCCAAAUACAGUUUGGAAUGGCUUUACUAAAUGUAAAUGAAACACAUUUAGUAAUUUAUUCAAAAUUUUCAAACUCAUUUUUACAAAUUCUGGUAAAUUUUGACGAGUUAUAUGCCAAAAAUCUUUUAGAAACUGUUACUAAUAGAUUUUUAGGUAAUAUGUUACAUUUUUUUUUGUUUAAAUAAAUGAAUGCAAAUU